rnacentral:rRNA from 1 species
GUGGGGAAUAUUGCACAAUGGGGGAAACCCUGAUGCAGCGACGCCGCGUGAGUGAGGAAGUAUUUCGGUAUGUAAAGCUCUAUCAGCAGGGAAGAAAAUGACGGUACCUGACUAAGAAGCCCCGGCUAACUACGUGCCAGCAGCCGCGGUAAUACGUAGGGGGCAAGCGUUAUCCGGAUUUACUGGGUGUAAAGGGAGCGUAGACGGAUAAGCAAGUCUGAUGUGAAAAUCCGGGGCCCAACCCCGGAAUUGCAUUGGAAACUGCAUAUCUAGAGUGUCGGAGAGGCAAGUGGAAUUCCUGGUGUAGCGGUGAAAUGCGUAGAUAUCAGGAGGAACACCAGUGGCGAAGGCGGCUUGCUGGACGAUGACUGACGUUGAGGCUCGAAAGCGUGGGGAGCAAACAGG